GCUGACGAGGGGCGGACGGGUGAGUAAUGUCUUGGAAACUGCCUGACGGAGUGGGAUAACUACUGGACACGGUGGCUAAUACCGCAUAACGACGCAAGACCAAAUAGUGGGACCUACGGGCCUCUUGCAAUCAGAUUUGCCCAGAUGUGAUUAGCUUGUUGGUGAGGUAACGGCUCACCAAGGCGUCGAUCCCUAGCUGGUCUGAGAGGAUGACCAGCCACACUGGAACUGAGACACGGUCCAGACUCCUACGGGAGGCAGCAGUGGGGAAUAUUGCACAAUGGGCGCAAGCCUGAUGCAGCCAUGCCGCGUGUAUGAAGAAGGCCUUCGGGUUGUAAAGUACUUUCAGCGGGGAGGAAGGUGUUGUGGUUAAUAACCGCAGCAAUUGAC
rnacentral:rRNA from 1 species